UUAUAAACGAGCCAAACGUAUGUUAAAUAAGAAGUGUUUUAUGUCGUGCCUUAAUGGCACGUGUCGGCAUUUCUUUGGUUUUGCUUUCUUUUCUUCCUCUCUCCUUCUCUCCUUCUCUCGUUCUCUCCUUUUCUUCGUCUCCGUUCUCGACAUAUCUCUCUCGACAGCGAGUAGAUCACCAUCUCUCCUCUCCUUCACUCGUUAUCUCCAUCUCUCCUUCUCUCCUUCUCUUCGUCGACCUUCUCACCAUCUCUCUCUCGACGGCGUCACCGAGAUUGGAUUUUCCGAUCUCUCCGCCGAUUUUUCCGCCGAUCUCUGUAACGAUUGGCUUGCUCAGUCCACGACGAAGCAACCGCCGACCUCUCCGCCGACCUCUACGCCGAUUGUCUAGCUCAGUCCACGCCGAUCUCUCCGCCCUUUGCAACCGAGUCCUCAGUCCAUCGAUUUCUCCGCCGAAUCAAUAACAAAAUACAGGUCUGUAAUCAUUCUUCUUAUUCGCAAGGGUGAAUUCUAUACGAGAGUUGGUGAGAAAAAGAUCAAAACCUUGUGGUAACCCGUAACUGCAAGCAAUCACAUUAUGUCAUUGUCUAGGAAGCUUUCAAGCAAAGGAUGAGUAUGAAGAUGGUUCUCCCUUUAAACAGCUUGAACAUCUAAAGCUAUGUGCCUAUGUGUAUGCUCAUGGCAUAAGUCGAAUCUUUUCAACCAGCUUCUCAAUGAUUCACCUAACUUACGCUCUUCACAACGCAAAUAAGUUUAUUAGAUUAUUUAAUGUUUAUGAUGCGGUGUUUUAAAAUACAAUCUCUACAACGAUACCCAUAUGUAACAUAUGGUGCGAAAUUGUAUUUUCUUUUUAUAUGGUAAACAUUAUGUCAUUAUCUUUAUAUGAUAAACAAUGAUGAUUGCAUAUACACAAUUUAUAUAGCAUAUAAACGUAAUUUUUUUAUAUGUAUGUCAUAUAUACUAUAACGUAAAUCCAUUUUUGUUUUUGUAUAGUAUGUACAUUGUUAACGUUGUUUAGUUAUUUCUAGUGAAAAUAAAGAUUGUAAUUUAUCUACUUAUUUGUCAUUUCUUUUAACAACUAAAAUAUUCUGCUAAAUCAUUUCAGGAUCAUAUUGGUUGCAUUAUUUGGUGGAAUGAACCGACUAUGGUUCCUGAAUGUUUGUUAUCAAGCCUACAAGUUUUUAAAUGGUACUCCUACACAGGAUCACAACCAGAGAAAGAUAUCGCGGUUCAUAUAUUGAAAAAUGCUUGUUGCGUUAAAGGAGUUCGCCGGUUUGUCUGAUACCAAAGUGUGGCUCCUUCCUAGCUUCGAGAACUCUGCUUGGUCCAUCAUGGCGGUCUCGUUCAUCUCGCUUCUUAUAUGGGUGCCUGCCUCUAUUCAAAUUUUGCAUUCCCUCCCGAUUGUGGCCCAGUGUUUAAAUGCCGGCUUGGUGGAGUGUCAUUUCGAGUCUACUGUGAGGAGGAAAAGGGCAUGGUUUAUGUUGGCCGAUGGGAAAAAAUGACAUUGAAUUGGCCGGUGUUUGUGACAUUGGACGCCAUCUAAACGGCCAGGGAUUUAAAGGCCUUCCGCUACUAAAUUCUUAAAUUCUUUUCCUCAUCAAUAGUUUAGAGUUUGUACGUGAUUUGUGUGUUGUCGAUUCGGGCUAUGUCUUUUAGCUAUUUGGUUAGAGUUGUCGUAAAAUCUCGGACUUGUUGUAAUUCUCUCUUAAUCCAUAAAA